CACAAGCGGUGGAUGAUGUGGAUUAAUUCGAUGCAACGCGAAAACCUUACCUACCCUUGACAUGUCCGGAAUCCCGAAGAGAUUUGGGAGUGCUCGCAAGAGAGCCGGAACACAGGUGCUGCAUGGCUGUCGUCAGCUCGUGUCGUGAGAUGUUGGGUUAAGUCCCGCAACGAGCGCAACCCUUGUCAUUAGUUGCCAUCAUUUGGUUGGGCACUCUAAUGAGACUGCCGGUGACAAACCGGAGGAAGGUGGGGAUGACGUCAAGUCCUCAUGGCCCUUAUGGGUAGGGCUUCACACGUCAUACAAUGGUCGGUACAGAGGGUUGCCAACCCGCGAGGGGGAGCUAAUCCCACAAAGCCGAUCGUAGUCCGGAUCGCAGUCUGCAACUCGACUGCGUGAAGUCGGAAUCGCUAGUAAUCGCGGAUCAGCAUGUCGCGGUGAAUACGUUCCCGGGUCUU
rnacentral:rRNA from 1 species